GGCCUUGCGCUCUUUGAGCGGCCGAUGUCAGAUUAGCUAGUUGGUGAGGUAAAGGCUUACCAAGGCGACGAUCUGUAGCGGGUCUGAGAGGAUGAUCCGCCACACUGGAACUGAGACACGGUCCAGACUCCUACGGGAGGCAGCAGUGGGGAAUUUUGGACAAUGGGGGCAACCCUGAUCCAGCCAUGCCGCGUGAGUGAAGAAGGCCUUCGGGUUGUAAAGCUCUUUCGGCCGGGAAGAAAUCGCAUGGGCCAAUACCCUGUGUGGAUGACGGUACCGGAAUAAGAAGCACCGGCUAACUACGUGCCAGCAGCCGCGGUAAUACGUAGGGUGCGAGCGUUAAUCGGAGUUACUGGGCGUAAAGCGUGCGCAGGCGGUUUUGUAAGACAGGCGUGAAAUCCCCGGGCUUAACCUGGGAACUGCGUUUGUGACUGCAAGGCUAGAGUACGGCAGAGGGGGGUGGAAUUCCACGUGUAGCAGUGAAAUGCGUAGAGAUGUGGAGGAACACCAAUGGCGAAGGCAGCCCCCCGGGUCGAUACUGACGCUCAUGCACGAAAGCGUGGGUAGCAAACAGGAUUAGAUACCCUGGUAGUCCACGCCCUAAACUAUGUCAACUAGGUGUUGGGUGGGUAAAACCAUUUAGUACCGUAGCUAACGCGUGAAGUUGACCGCCUGGGGAGUACGGCCGCAAGGUUAAAACUCAAAGGAAUUGACGGGGACCCGCACAAGCGGUGGAUGAUGUGGAUUAAUUCGAUGCAACGCGAAAAACCUUACCUACCCUUGACAUGCCAGGAACUUGCCAGAGAUGGCUUGGUGCCCGAAAGGGAGCCUGGACACAGGUGCUGCAUGGCUGUCGUCAGCUCGUGUCGUGAGAUGUUGGGUUAAGUCCCGCAACGAGCGCAACCCUUGUCGUUAAUUGCCAUCAUUUAGUUGGGCACUUUAGCGAGACUGCCGGUGACGAACCGGAGGAAGGUGGGGAUGACGUCAAGUCCUCAUGGCCCUUAUGGGUAGGGCUUCACACGUCAUACAAUGGUCGGUACAAAGGGUUGCCAAGCCGCGAGGCGGAGCCAAUCCCAGAAAGCCGAUCGUAGUCCGGAUUGCAGGCUGCAACUCGCCUGCAUGAAGUCGGAAUCGCUAGUAAUCGUGGAUCAGCAUGUCACGGUGAAUACGUUCCCGGGUCUUGUACACACCGCCCGUCACACCAUGGGAGCGGGUUCCGCCAGAAGUAGGUAGCCUAACCGCAAGGGGGGCGCUUACCACGGCGGGG
rnacentral:rRNA from 1 species